AGGAUGAACGCUGGCGGCGUGCUUAACACAUGCAAGUCGAACGAUGAACCUCACUUGUGGGGGGAUUAGUGGCGAACGGGUGAGUAACACGUGAGUAACCUGCCCUUAACUCUGGGAUAAGCCUUGGAAACGGGGUCUAAUACCGGAUAUUUACGAUUGAUCGCAUGGUUGGUUGUGGAAAGAUUUAUUGGUUUUGGAUGGACUCGCGGCCUAUCAGCUUGUUGGUGAGGUAAUGGCUUACCAAGGCGACGACGGGUAGCCGGCCUGAGAGGGUGACCGGCCACACUGGGACUGAGACACGGCCCAGACUCCUACGGGAGGCAGCAGUGGGGAAUAUUGCACAAUGGGCGCAAGCCUGAUGCAGCGACGCCGCGUGAGGGAUGAAGGCCUUCGGGUUGUAAACCUCUUUCAGCAGGGACGAAGCGAGAGUGACGGUACCUGCAGAAGAAGGACCGGACCAACUACGUGCCAGCAGCCGC
rnacentral:rRNA from 1 species